CACGUAGUUAGCCGGGGCUUUCUUCUCAAGUACCGUCACCCUCAGGGCAGUUUCUCCCCAAGGCGUUCUUCCUUGGCAACAGAGCUUUACGAUCCGAAAACCUUCUUCACUCACGCGGCGUUGCUCCGUCCAGACUUGCGUCCCAUUGCGGAAGAUUCCCUACUGCUGCCUCCCGUAGGAGUCUGGGCCGUGUCUCAGUCCCAGUGUGGCCGAUCACCCUCUCAGGUCGGCUACGCAUCGUCGCCUUGGUGAGCCGUUACCUCACCAACCAGCUAAUGCGCCGCAGGCCCAUCUGUAAGCCACAGCUUGCACCGUGUUUCUGAUCUCCCCAUGCGGGUAAACCCAUCUAUCCGCUCUUAGCUACCGUUUCCGGUAGUUAUCCCGGUCUUACAGGUCAGGUUGCCUACGUGUUACUCACCCGUCCGCCGCUAACUUACCCCGAAGGCUAAAUCCGCUCGACUUGCAUGUAUUACGGCACGCCGCCAGCGUGUCUCUGCGCGAGUCAACUACUCUAC
rnacentral:rRNA from 1 species